rnacentral:rRNA from 1 species
UGGAGAGUUUGAUCCUGGCUCAGAUUGAACGCUGGCGGCAGGCCUAACACAUGCAAGUCGAGCGGUAGCACAGGAGAGCUUGCUCUCUGGGUGACGAGCGGCGGACGGGUGAGUAAUGUCUGGGAAACUGCCUGAUGGAGGGGGAUAACUACUGGAAACGGUAGCUAAUACCGCAUGACCUCGCAAGAGCAAAGUGGGGGACCUUCGGGCCUCACGCCAUCGGAUGUGCCCAGAUGGGAUUAGCUAGUAGGUGGGGUAAUGGCUCACCUAGGCGACGAUCCCUAGCUGGUCUGAGAGGAUGACCAGCCACACUGGAACUGAGACACGGUCCAGACUCCUACGGGAGGCAGCAGUGGGGAAUAUUGCACAAUGGGCGCAAGCCUGAUGCAGCCAUGCCGCGUGUGUGAAGAAGGCCUUAGGGUUGUAAAGCACUUUCAGCGAGGAGGAAGGCGUUGUAGUUAAUAGCUGCAGCGAUUGACGUUACUCGCAGAAGAAGCACCGGCUAACUCCGUGCCAGCAGCCGCGGUA